rnacentral:misc_RNA from 1 species
UCUCCGUUGGUGAACCAGCGGAGGGAUCAUUACAGAGUACUAUACUCAUAACCCUUUGUGAACCUUUAUAACUUGUUGCUUCGGCGGCGCGAGCCCCUCGGGGAGCGUGCCCGCCGGUGUCAUCAGAAUCUCUGUUCGAACCCGACGAUACUUCUGAGUGUUCUAAGCGAACUGUUAAAACUUUCAACAACGGAUCUCUUGGCUCCAGCAUCGAUGAAGAACGCAGC